AAUGAUCUGAAUGUUUAACAUAGUGAGAUAGAAUACAUGCAGUUAACAUAGUGCUAAUAAUCUAAAUUAUUUCAUGAUAAAAGACAUAAUUAUUAAAAUAAACAUUAUCAGCAAAAAAAAAUACUUAAGUUACAUAUUGAUAUGUUAAAUAAUGAAUGUAAUCCAAUAUGAUAGAUAACAAUCAUCAAAAACAGUUCAUUAAAUAUCAAUUUCUGAUCAUUGUAGUAAUAUUGAAAUUGAUGAAAGUAAUACCAGUUAUAUGAUAUAUAAGACAAGGGAAUGGUAUAUAAAUACCAGUUAUAUGAUAUAUAAGACAAGGGAAUGGUAUAUAUAAAUACCAGUUAUAUGAUAUAUAAGACAAGGGAAUGGUAUAUAUAAAUACCAGUUAUAUGAUAUAUAAGACAAGGGAAUGGUAUAUAUAAAUACCAGUUAUAUGAUAUAUAAGAUAAGGGAAUGGUAUAUAUAAAUACCAGUUAUAUGAGAAAUAUGUCAAGAGAAUGGUAUAUAUCAAUACCAGUUAUAUGAUAUAUAGGACAAGGGAAUGGUAUAUAUGAAUAAAAAUUAUAUGAUAUAUAAGACAAGGGAAUGGUAUAAAGGAAUACCAGUAAUAUGAUAUAAAGGACAAGGGAAUGGUAUAUAUAAAUACCAGUAAUAUGAUAUAUAAGACAAGGGAAUGGUAUAUAUCAAUACCAGUUAUAUGGUAUAUAAGACAAGGGAAUGGUAUAUAUAAAUACCAGUUAUAUGACAUUUAGAACAAUGGAAUGGUAUAUAUGAAUACCAGUUAUAUGAUAUAUAGGACAAGUGUUUGGUAUAUAAAAAUACCAUAUAUGUAUAUUAUAUGUUAAAUAUGCAAAGGAAAUGGUAUAUAUCAAUACCAGUUAUAAGAUGUAAAGGAAAAUGGAAUGGUAUAAAUGAAUACCAGUUAUAUGUUAUAUAAAGCAAAGGAAUGUUAUAUGUAAAUUCCUGUUAUACAAUAUUUAGACAAUGGAAUUAUUUAUAUCAACACCAGUUAUAUGAUAUAUAGGACAAUGGAAUGGUAUAUAUAAAUACCUGUUAGAUGAUAUAUAGGACAAGUAAAUUGUUUCAUUGAGAUGAGGACCAUUUACAUGUUAUAUUUUAGAGAUUCCUUCUUUGAUUGUUUUAUAUUGUAAAGAUUGUAAAAAUUUACAAAUUGUAAUUAUGGAAAACCAUAAAUGUGUACAAGUUAAUACUGUUAGUCAGUAUCAUUCAAACAGUAUCGUUAAAGGGAUAAUAUUUUCUUAAUUUCUUGACAUGAUAGGACAGGAGUUAUUUUGUUGAGGUUUCAUACUAUUUGAAGAAGAUAUAUUAUUUUUCAUGUAAAAAAUUUGUAUGCAAAAUAUCAGAUUAUUUGCUCACUUUGUUUUUCCAAAAUACUAGUAAUCGUUUAAGCUCGACAAUUCAAUGAGUAGUUAAUGCUAUAACAGUACUUACCGCAUUGGCGUCAAACUUAGGUUACUUUUAUGUGUGCAAGUUGGUAUCUAAAAAACUACUGAAAGAAAAUUUCAAUUGACAUUCUUGUUCUUUAACAUGACUAACACAAAUCCCAUACCUCUGAUAUUUUUUUCCUCAUAUUCAUUCCCCUUUUACGACUUAAAAAAUCUUGGUUAAGUUUUUAUGUAUAAGAGUGGAUUAGAACUUCACACACAUAUAUGAGAGUAAAAGGAAGUCACUUUCCGAGCACAUAUAUAUUUUACAGAAAAAGUUCCCUUUUUGAAGUUCUGCAUUAUCCAUCACUGUGGAUAGUCAAGCACAAUGUCCUGUCAACAGUGUUUAAAUGUUUAUAGCUAAAGUCUGUCUGAAAAUUACACUUCAUUAAUAUCGAUUUUCAAUUUUAUUCCGAGUAUAUAUCUUUAGUAUCAUUUUUUUCCUUAUUCAAUAUCCCGAUUGAUCAGUUUUGGCUUUUCUAUUUUUAGCUCACCUGUCACAAAGUGACAGGGUGAGCUUUUGUGAUCGCUUUACGUCCGGCGUCCGUCCGUCGUCCGUCCGUCGUCCGUCCGUAAACUUUUGCUUUAAAUGACAUCUCCUCAUAAACCACUGAGCCAAUUUCAUCCAAACUUCACAGGAAUGUUCCUUUGGUGGUCACCUUCAAAAAUUGUUCAAAGAAUUUAAUUCCAUGCAGAACUCUGGUUGCCAUGGCAACCGAAAGAAAAAUCUUUAAAUAUCUUCUUUUAAACAACCCUAAGAGCUAGAGCUUAGAUAUUUGGCAUGAAACAUCUUCUAAUGAGUGUCUACCAAAUGUGUUCAAAUAAAAGCCCUGGGGUCAAAAUUGGCCCCGCCCCAGGGGGUCAUUGAUUUUCCCUAUAUGCAUAUAGUAAAAACUUAAAAAAUCUUCUUUUAAAGAACCCACAGAGCUAGAGCUAAGAUAUUUGGCAUGAAACAUCUUCUAGUGGGUGUCUACCAAGUUUGUUCAAAUAAAAGCCCUGGGGUCAAAAUUGGCCCUGCCCCAGGGGGUCAUUGAUUUUCCCUAUAUGCAUAUAGUAAAAACUUUAAAAAUCUUCUUUUAAAGAACCCAAAGAGCUAGAGCUAAGAUAUUUAGCAUGAAACAUGUUCUAAUGGGUGUCUACCAAGUAUGUUCAAAUAAAAGCCCUGGGUUCAAAACUGGCCCCGUCCCGGGGGUCAUUGAUUUUCCUUAUAUGUGUAUAGCAAAAACUUAAAAAUCUUCUUUGAAAAAACCCAAAUAGCUAGAGUUCAGAUAUUAAGCAUGAAACAUCUUUAAGUAAAUAUCUACAAAGUUUGUUCAAAUAAAAGCCUGGGGGUCAAAACUGGCCCUGCCCCAGGGGUGUUAUUGUUUUUAACUAUAUGUGUAUAGUAAAAACUUAAAAAAUCUUCUUUUAAAAAACCCAAUGAGCUAGAACUUAGAUGUUUAGCAUGAAACAUCUUCUUAUGGGUGUCUACGAAGUCUGUUCAAAUAAACAAAUAAAAGCCCUUGGGUAAAAUUGGCCCGGGGGGGGCUAUAUACAGGUGAGCGACCUCAGGGCCAUCAUGGCCCUCUUGUUAUUCUUUAUUGUUUAACCUCAGUGGAGCUCCUUUAAGUGAACUAUUUAUUGUUUAUGUUAGAAUGAUAAUUUUAAACACUAAGCAAGUAUAGAUAUAUCUUGCUGUAAAUUUAUAUGUACUAGUAUAUACUGUAACUACAUAGACAGUAUAACAUAAGUUUUAAUCAAAAAAUGUUAUACACCGUAGAUGUAAAUAUGAAUUUUAGCUCACCUCACCUGUCACAAAGUGACAUAGUGAGCCAUUGUGAUCGCUUUUUGUCCGGCGUCCGACCGGCGUAAAUUUUUACUUUAAACGACAUCUCCUCAUAAACCGCUAAGCCAGUUUCAUUAGAACUUCACAAAAAUAAUCCUUUGGUAUUCAACUUUAAAAAUUCUUCAAAAUUUUAUUCCAUACAGAACUCUGGCUGCCAUUGCAACCGAAAGAAAAAAACAUAAAAGUUUUCUUACAGAAAAACUUAAAUAUUUGGCAUGAAACAUUGUCUAGUCAGUGUCUACCAAGUUGUUCAAAUAAAUUCCCAGGGGUCAAAAAUAGGGGGGGGGGGUCAUUGAUUUUCCUUAUACAUACCAGUUCUCAGCUGCCCCUUGGUGAUAUAUACCAGUUCUCAGCUGUGCCUUAGGGAUAUAUACCAGUUCUCAGCUGCCCCUUGGGGAUAUAUACCAAUUCUCAGCUUUUUCAUCAUAAGUCAGUGCAGGAAUAUAAUAAGUCUCAGCUAUACCUGAGGGAUAUAUACCAGCUCUCGGAUGUCAAUAUGCUCUUUCACACAGACAGCCAUAUUUUAUAAAGUUAUAUACUAUCAGAUAUUUAUGUUCAUAGAUAAUUUAUGUAACGGUUCAAUUAGAACUUUUUAAUUAAACAAUUGGUCAUAUUUUAGUACCAAGACAUUAUAACAUUAUAGGCAUACAUAAGUUAUAUUUCUGCUGAUGUUAACAUAAUUAUGAUAUGUUAGUUUACAUGUAUUGUAAAACAUAUGUUACAUGAAAUUACUCAAAAGUUAUGUUGUAAUCUUGUGUCUAAAAAUGCAUCCAGGGUAAUUAAAGCAUACUGGUUAUGAAUACACUUCAUUCGUGAUGAAUUUAGUUCAGCCAAAUCUGUACGUAUGGGUUCCGACAAUGCUAAAAUAUAUAUUAGAUGUUUUCAGACAGUAAAGAUAUAACUAUAUUUUAUUAUAGGUAUGUAAGAUUUUUAUGCUUGCUGAUGUUAGUAUAUACCAAGAUUAAGAUAUGUUAUAUAUAAAUAUAGUUUACACAUGUCUGUUUGUUACAUGAAAGUUUGAAACAUGAAAUUCUGAUUGAAUGUAUCUAGUACAUAAUGUAAACAUAUUAUUUCAUGUUAAUAAAUGUUUAUUGUAUAAUUACAUACUAUUGCAAUCCUUUUAUGAAAAUAAGAUAAUACUAUUUUACAUAAAGAAAGGUUUUGUGACAUGUGACUAUACGUACAUUUGAAAAUGUUAUACGUGUUUGCUUUAAAGGCCCAUUAAGCCUUAAAAAAUGCAAUCACUUUUAUUUUUCAAAAGCUUAUUUUUUUGUGUCCAAAGAGUCUUUCAUUGUCCAUAUAGCACAGCCAUCAUUUGUUUGUUUUGCAUUUAUUCAUGUUUGAUUUAAAGGCCCAUUAAGCUUAGAAAAUGCAGAAUGUUAUUUUUCAAAAGUUUUUAUUUUUGGUGUCCAAAACGUCUUUCAUAGGCCAUAUAUCUAAGCCAACUUGUGUUUGUUUUGCAUUUUAGCAACCAGUACAAUUAUGAUGAAUAAGUAUUAUAUAUGGAAGUCAAAAUUACAUUUUUUUUUACAUUUUGCAUCUCUAUUAACAAACUCAAUUUUUUGGCAGGUGAUAAAAAUAGCACUUUUUCUAAAUAUAUUAGUACAACAUUAUAAAACACAUAUUGGCCCUUUUACAAAAAUAAAAAUCUAUUCAUUUCUGAGGCGAAAUGUGCCUUUAAACUUUAAAUGUAUAUGUAGAGAAAAUUCAUCUGGUAUAUAAGUAAACAUACAAUUACAUGAAGAUGUUAUUAAUUGUUAACUAGAUAUAUGAAUGUUUAUCUUUAUUUCAUGCUUAGAUUUGUUAUGUCUUGUGAACAUAUGCAUCAGACAUGUUUGUUUGUGACUUGGAAUCUAGAUUUUACAAUUCUAGUAUAUUUGUAAACAUUCAAAUUACAUGUACUCAUAACAAAUCUAUAUUGUCCAUGUUUAUGCAUAAACAAUUCUAUAUGAAGUUAAGAUAAGUUCAUGCUGUAAUAUGUUAUGUCAAUUGUACAUUAUAUAUUAACUAUGUCUGUUUAGUGAAUAUUGUAUGAUUAAAUCCAUCUCAUACAUUUAUAAUCCUUUAAUUACAUAUACUUGGUAACUUAUAUAUUUAUUGUUUUGGCCAUGUUUAUGCUAAAACAAUACUACCGUAUAUGAAGUUAAGAUAAGUUCAUGCUCGAAUAUGUCGAUUGUACAUAUACAUAUAUACAAAACAUGACUGUCUAAAACAUGAAUUGUUUAUGGAAAACAGUAUUCAGUAUAUGAUCUUAUCAUGGAAGCUUCAUAGAGAGCAUUAUACUGUUUUUGUUAUUAAUGUAGUACUAUUAAAUAAAUCAUGUUUGUUUGAUUGGUUUUGAUAGCAUGAAUGUGUGACUUUUCUUAAUAAAAGAUUGUACAAAAUGUGA